AUGCGUUGUUGGUGAUGACAUUCGUCUCGAGGUGAUGCGGUGUCAUGUUGCCUGUGUAYCCUGGUUUUGAGCUAUUUGAGCUUAAAAUAUGUGGAUUAUCGGUUAGUGAUACGGCAUCGCUCCCUUGGUUGAUGAAAGUCGUCCAAUGAUGUUGUGGUUUGUUUGUUUUCUUCUCGCAUCGCUCGGUGCAUUCUGGGGUCAUUUUGGCUGUUGGCAGCUUGCUUGGCAAUUGAGCUUGGUGGGUUGCUGCUGGUUGGGUGUCUUUGGGGAUGUCUACCGUAAAGGUGCAUGAGUGGUGUUUGGUUUGUUACGGGUGGUUGGCUCUUUGCUUGCGCAACAACUUCUACCUGGCAUACCUCUUCAAUCUUGUGUCAAUGCUUGUAUUGCAUUGAAUGCACGACGGGUUUCUUGUGUUGCAUGCCUAAUUAAUGGUAUCAUUUGAUGAAUUGGUUUUUCUUUCUUCUUGCGUUGCCUGUGCGAUGUGAGAUGAACCUUAAAGCAGCCUUUGUGAUCCACUCUUUUGAUGCAUAUGCAUUUAUUUUGUGGCCCAUUGAGUGUUGCUCGGUCUCAUGGAUAUGGAACCUGGUGUGGGCAUGGAAUCCUAAUGGUUCCUUGUUUGCCCAUGUUUAGCUUUUCUAAAACGAUUGUCUAUCA
rnacentral:misc_RNA from 1 species